AUUGAACGCUGGCGGCAUGCUUUACACAUGCAAGUCGAACGGUAACAGGGAGCUUGCUCCGCUGACGAGUGGCGAACGGGUGAGUAAUGCGUCGGAACGUGCCGAGUAGUGGGGGAUAACGCAUCGAAAGGUGUGCUAAUACCGCAUACGAACUGAGGUUGAAGGUGGGGGACCUUCGGGCCUCACGCUAUUCGAGCGGCCGACGUCUGAUUAGCUAGUUGGUGAGGUAAAGGCUCACCAAGGCGACGAUCAGUAGCGGGUCUGAGAGGAUGAUCCGCCACACUGGGACUGAGACACGGCCCAGACUCCUACGGGAGGCAGCAGUGGGGAAUUUUGGACAAUGGGCGCAAGCCUGAUCCAGCCAUGCCGCGUGUCUGAAGAAGGCCUUCGGGUUGUAAAGGACUUUUGUCCGGGAGCAAAUGCUGGUGGCUAACAUCCACCGGAGCUGAGAGUACCGGAAGAAUAAGCACCGGCUAACUACGUGCCAGCCGCCGCAGUAAGAC
rnacentral:rRNA from 1 species